AUUCCCAAUACUAUAAAUAUGUCUUAUAUGUGUGUCACGUGCGUUUAAUUAUAUGACCUGAAAAACAUCAAACACAAUUAUACCGAGUAUUCCGGGGGAAUAAACUAGGAGAUACACAUACAUUUCUACCGUGUUUUAACUUUAUCUACAUAGAAGAUGAGUGAUCAAAACAUUGGAGGCUGGACAUCGAAUGAUGUUUGGUAUUUAACAAAGAAAUACGGAGGACCAGUCGUAGCAGGGGCAUGUGUAGUAGGUGCAGUACCCGUUGUACUUUAUGCAUUUGGCUUUACCGGGUGUGGUAUAGCAGCUGGGACAUUGGCACCUAAAGUUAUGGCUUGGUCAGCCGUUGCCAACGGUGGAGGCGUAGCUUCUGGUGGAGUUGUCGCCACACUUCAAUCUGCGGGAGCUGCUGGAUUUGGUCUUGGUACAAAGUUUGCAAUCGGUACAACUGCUGGUGGAAUUUUCAGCUAUGUUUUCAGAAGUCGCGCAGAAAAGGACGUUGAUUGCAUGAAAAAAAAAUAAUAAUCUGAUAUGUUGUGUCACAUGCUAUAGAUAUAUCAUGUUAUGGCAAUAAAGAUUUGAAUUGAAUUGAAUUAAAGAUAACCAGUGUUUU